ACAAUCAUACAUUGUUCAGGUGUCCUUAUCCUUUUGGAUUAAGGAUGAAACGGGAAGUCGGUGCGCUUUUGGUCAUCAUUGUUUGUUAAGCCGACACUGCCCCCGCAACGGUAAACAGGUCAUUAAGUCUGCACGAUGCCACUGUGAUUAAAUCAUGGGAAGGCGCAGCUUUUAAGAUCAUCCAUCUUGCCUGUAAGUCCGGAGACCGGCCUGAUAUAGCAUGGCAUU
rnacentral:ncRNA from 2 species